CCUAGUUUGUUUCUCUUCCCUUUCAAAGGCUGCAUCGAGGCAAACACUACUUCGUUUCCGCCACCGGUUGCCGAUCUCCCUGCGCGCGCGUCAGCGAAGCCUACCGUGGAGAGAUGCCAGACGAGACUGCAGGCGACGGAGGCAAUCGACGAUCGCGGCACAGAUGGCCUUGGCCUCGCGGCGGUGAAACAGACGAGAUGAAGACGCACUGGAGGCAAGCAGCAAAAUGGAGGCAAGCAGCAAAAUGGAGGCAAACAUGGCGACUCACGCUUGCCGGCAUAGCCUGUACGAUCGCGGGUCGGCUGCGAACCUGCCGCCGUGCGUACAGUUUUCUACGAGACACGCUACACCGAACAGGACUGAUCCAAGCCUGGGUGUAUCUCGCAGCGAAGUAGAUUGUGUUCAUUGGCGUGGAUAUUUCAGGACGGCACGCAAAAGAGAACUUUGGGAACCGGCUCAGCCGAGAGCGCGCCAGGGAAUCACCACUGCUGUGCAACAGAAGAGGUUUUCUGUCUUUAGCACAGACGUGUGUCUGUUUGAGCCUUGGAGAAAAGGAUGAAAAAGGACCGAGGUGAGCUCCGCCAACUUGGCACGGAUACCACGACCAACAGCCUGUACAGACAGCUGGAAUCUUGUCAGGCUGCACGGGCGCAGACUUCUUUCGGGUUGUUUUGUCUUGUUUUCACCAUCUAGAUAAACGCGGCGCAUCGGGGAGUUCUGACCGCGGGGCUCCGCGGCGAAGGUCAUGGGGCCCGUCCUGGUGAUCCAGGGCGUUUAGACCAUCGAUAUUCGUUUUUUGUUUUUCAUGAUUGCCGUACUCCACCACCCCACUGGACUGCGUAAGACGCCUAAAAGUAUAUUGGAUGUCAAUAUCCUAUGAAACGUUAUUCCACUUCGGAGAUGUUCUAGGCGUAAUAUUUAAAACGCAUCGUGUAUGUUCUCCUCUCUCCACGGAGUACGGAGUUACGGGGGGUUCGAAUCCUUUGUUCAAACCUGGUGAAUUUGCCUCACAGUUUGCGGGAUGAGACGUACUGAUGGACAUGUAGGGCGAAAGAACUGCAUUUUUCUGUAGCGGCAGAUUCCCUGUUUCGAUCGCUAGCGUCGGAGCACGCCUUCCUCGCUGUUGCUUGCGCAACUGCAAAGCACGUGAAACCCCCCCGUGUCAUUUCCUGGGGGUAUGAGCUGCACACCUCCCUCGACUCGUUUUUCUUCCGUUUAGUGUGUAGCGGGAUCUGUCCGAGUCCUCUCGCCGUAUCACCGCGGAAGGCGUGCACCGUGCGCGAAGACUUCUCUUUCGUGCGGCCGGCUGUGCUUUGGGGCAGAAUCUCCUGGGUAAGAGGUCUAGAGCCUCUCCACUGCGUUGUGAAAAGCUUCAAACGGUGGACGGUAGGAUUCUGUGCCUUCCCUUCUCGGUUUUUUCUCUGGUCUGUACCGUGUGAUCGAUUCGUUUCUGUGUAUUCUCCGCCUUCGUCGCGGCGCACAGUCGCCCCCGCUCGCCGUCGUUUCGUUCCCCGUAGAACCGACAUGCUUCUGACUACGGUUUUCUUCAUGUGUUCACUCAGUUCCCUCGUUUUGUUCCGCCAGUUUUCGAAAGUAACCUGACGCGUUCGAUGUAGAUGUUUCUAUCCACAGCCUUACACAUGUCGUAGAUGGUCAAGGCAGCCACUGACACCGCCACAAGAGCCUCCAUUUCGACUCCUGUAUUGGCAACGCACUCCACUCGGCUACGAAUCGUUACGACACAGCCUGCUCUUUCGUUUUGCUGGCUUUCUCCUUCUCUUGUGGGGCUGCCUGCUUCGUCUACGCCGUUGGGUUUUGUCGACGAGCGGAGCGACGGCAGACUCGCACAUGGAGAACAAACACACGAGACAUCAACUGAGGAAAGCGGAACAUUGUGACAAAGAGGAAUCAGCGAGCUCGUUGUCUUUGCCGCCAUAAUUCCCGCCAAUUCAGCAACGGCGAAAACGUCGCCUUUCUUUUCUGAAAUGGGUCGCAGAGACACCUGCGGAGCGGUGCCGUUUCUGUGCUUUUUCUCUGCGUCCGUUCUUCUGUAUUUCAACCGAAGUUUUGAGUCAUGUGUUUCUUCACAACACACACUCUCGUGGUCCCCGGUCUCCAAAAGCUCUCGUUUCCCCUGCUCAGAACAUUGACUCUCCGAUUUUCCUGUGCUUUUAGUCAGGUGUAUGUACACCUCAGGUGAUAGGAAGACCUGCGCCUCAGCUUCGGCUGUACGUACAGUGGGCGGUUUCCAGGAUACAUUUACCAUUCUCGGUUUCCCGGAAACGGGGUUGAAGUGUGAAAAACACCCCCCUUUGUCGCUUUCCUCUUUGCUUCCCAUUUCUGUCAACAAUCGCUUCUCUUCCUUCACCGCACCGUAAGAAAAUUUCCCAUCUCGUC
rnacentral:lncRNA from 1 species